rnacentral:rRNA from 1 species
GAUGAACGCUGGCGGCGUGCCUCAAACAUGCAAGUCGAGCGAGGCUAUGAGUUACCGCAAGGUAAGGCAUAGCCUAGCGGCGAACGGGUGAGUAACACGUGGGUAACCUACCUGGAAGACAGGGAUAACGAUUCGAAAGGGUCGCUAAUACCUGAUAAUAUCCAUCUGCCGGAUGGCGGAGGGAAGAAAGGGGAAACCCGCUUUCAGAUGGGUCCGCGUCCCAUCAGCUAGUUGGUAAGGUAAAGGCUUACCAAGGCGACGACGGGUAGCCGGUCUGAGAGGAUGUACGGCCACACUGGGACUGAGAUACGGCCCAGACUCCUACGGGAGGCAGCAGUUGGGAAUCUUAGGCAAUGGACGAAAGUCUGACCUAGCGACGCCGCGUGAGGGAAGAAGGCCUUCGGGUUGUAAACCUCUGUCAUGGGGAAGAAGGAAGUGACGGUACCCAACGAGGAAGCCCUCGCUAACUACGUGCCAGCAGCGCGGUAACACGAGAGUA